CCCCCCAAUUAAUGUUAAAAUUAAAACAUGGAUGAAAAAUUGUGUGAUUAUUCCUUCAAAAAUAAAGUCUUAAUUAUUGUAUUAUUAUUAUUAUUAUUAUUAUUAUUAUUAGUAGUAGUAGUAGUAGCAGUAUUACAGUACAUUAUACCAUACAAUAGUAAUACAAUAGUAGUGUAUAGUACUACAAUAGUAAUUUCUCUUUGUGUGUAUGAUUACAAUAGUUUUUCUCAAAUUAAAUGGUAAAAUACUUAUGAAGUGACUCUCAGAGCAGCUCUGGAGAUGAAGUUUGUAUUCAUGUUGUAAUAUAGUCAGAUGUAAACACUGGAAAAACCUCCCUUUCUGUGUUUGUUUUUCAGUAGAUGUCAGCAAUCGUCCAAUAAACCAAGUCACAUUUUCUUAUGUCUAUCACCAUGAAUGAAAAUGAGAAAUGUAGAUCUUUUUUUAAAAUGGAUUUUACAUAAAAUGUUGCUAUUUUAUAUAAAUUUAUAUAUUUAAAUUAUUACAAAUUGAGGCAAAUAAAUAAUAAAAAAAUACCAUAAGUCCCCCAAAACUACAUAACUUUAUAAUUAAAAUGUUAAUAAAGUGAGUGAUAUUAUGUUUGUUUAAAAAAAGUUACAUUGUUACAAAAUCACAUUUUACUGUCUUAUGUAAGCUUGUCGGACAGAAAAAGGAAUGUUGUUGCCCAAUGUGUAAAAUCAUAGCAAGCAACAUAGCAUAACAUAAGUGAUAGGCCCUAUAUUAUAUCUGUAAACAAGCGUCAAUGCCUUGAACGUGAUGCGAGCAGCAAGUGGUAGCCAGUGCAGAGAGAUGAAGAGAGGUGUGACGUGGGCCCUUUUGGGCUCAUGAAAGACAUGACAUGUUGCAGCAUUCUGAAUCAUUUGUAGAAGUUUGAUUGCACACGAUGGCAGUCCAGCCAGAAGAUCAUUGCAGUAAUCAAGCCUAGAAAUGACCAGGGCCUGAACGAGAAGUUGUGUUGCAUGUUCUGUUAGAAAUGGUCUGAUCUUCCUGAUGUUGUGUAGUGUAAAUCUGCAUGACCGAGCUGUCUUUGCAAUGUGUUCUUUGAAGGCCCGUUGGUCAUCAAAGAUUACUCCAAGAUUUCUGGCCGACCUUGAUGAGGUAAUCAAUGAUGUACCUAGCUGGAUUUUGAAAUUGUGCUGUAGAUUCAGAUUGGCAGGGAAGACGAGAAGCUCUGUCUUUGCCAGGUUGAGCUGCAGGGGAUGUUCUUUCAUCCAUGCCGAGAUGUCCGCCAGACAGCUUGAGAUUCAUGCAGGUACUGUGGGAUCAUCUGGAUGAAAUGAAAGGAAGAGCUGUGUGUCAUCAGCAUAGCAAUGUUAUGAGAAACCAUGUGCCUGUAUGAUGGGAUCCAGUGAUGUAGUGUAAAUGGAAAAGAAGAGGGGUCCAAGAACUGAACCCUGAGGAACCCCCGUGAUUAGUUGAUGUGCACCUCCCCUCUCCAGGCAACCCUGAAAGACCUACCUGUGAGAUAGGAUUCAAACCAGUGAAGUGGAGUUCCUGUGAUGCCCAGUGAUGACAGGGUGGACAGAAGGAUCUGAUGAUUCACGGUGUCAAAGGCAGCAGAUAGAUCCAGCAGAAUGAUAACUGAUGAUUUGGAAUCAGCCUUCGCUAUCCGCAGGGAUUCUGUGACCAACAGAAGUGCAGUCUCUGUUGAAUGGCUGCUCUUGAAACCAGAUUGGUUGAUGUUCAGCUGGUUAUUCUGUGAGAGGAAAGAUUAUACCUGGUUGAAAACAACCUGUUCAAGUGUUUUUGCUAUGAAUGGUAGGAGAGAGACAGGUCUGUAACUGUCUACAUGUAAUGUGUUUAAUGUGGGUUUUUUAAGUAGUGGGGUUACCCGAGCCUGCUUGAAUGUGGUAGGGAAAAUGCCGGUGUGGAGAGAUGUUGAUAAUGUGUGUGAGUGCUGGUAAAAGUGUAGGAGAGAUGGCCUGUAGAAGGUGUGAGGGGAUGGUGGUAGAUAUUUCUGCCUCAGUGAGGGGAGAGAAGGAAGAGAGAAGAUUUGUGGCUGUCGAUGGUCCAAGUUCCUUUGUGUGUGGAACUGAGAACUGACUGCUGAUGGUUAAUGUUUUGUCAGUGAAGAAAUUAGCAAAAUCAUCAGCAGUUAAAGAGGUGGCGGGUGAUGGUGGAGGGGGACAGAGGAACGAGUUAAAUGUUUUGAAAAGUGUGUAUGUGUUUGAAGCGCUGUUAAUAUUGUUGUGGAAAUAUGAAAAUUUAGCAGCAGGAACAUCAUCAGAAAAGGGAGACCGAGUAUAGUUGGUGCAACAGGUAUUAAAUAUUUAUCAGACGUAGCUAACCCUAAGUCCUGCGUAGUGCUUACACCCAACUUUUUUUAUGUCCAGCUGGUGCAACUGGCCCCUAAACACUUCGAAUCUGUUAUGAAGCCCACUGUGUGAGUUGCUGUUAUGACGUCACAAUCGUGUUGCAUUGUGGUCUGUGGAUCUGCCUGAAGUGUAAAUAUGAGUAGACUCGCUCUCUUGGUCAUAAUCGAGGGGUUGAGGUUCUGUCCAAAUAAUUUUCCUUCGUCCACUUGAUGAAGUUGAAUGCAAGUUCAGAAUGCUGGUGGGAAUUCCCCCAAGGGGAAGUGCUAUGUCUAAAAGUGGAGUUAAAUGCAGCUUUUGAAGGCAGCCUUUGUUUUGCACCUUUCAUUCAGCCGGUUUUGAAGGAUGCAUCAAGUGUGUCCUUUGCAUCUUCCAAUCUCCCACAAUCCCCACAAGUAAAAGCAUGUAAACAUUUGAAAUGGUCCAUUAUUAUGGCAGCAACAGGUAAGAUGUUACAUUAAAGGGGUGGUUCAUUAUGAUUUCACUUUUUUAACUUUAGUUAGUGUGUAUUGUUGCUGUUAGAGCAUAAACAACAUCUGCAAAGUUACGAUGCUCAAAGUUCAAAGCAAAGGGAGGUAUUUUCUUUUAAAGAAUUCUGUUUAUGGACUACAACCAAAGAAUAUAGAACCCAAGAGGUGAAAUUCUUAUCCUUUUUGGGCAACAGCCACUAGAUGGCGCUCUGGUAGCGCAGCCGCCAUUAUGGGGUGAAAAUACCAACUGGAGAGUAUAGAACCCAAGAGGUGAAACUCUUAUCCUUUUUGGGCAACAGCCGCUAGGGCUGCGUUCCACUCCAGUUUUAGACACGCACACUUCCCUAAGCACUUCCCCUCGGGGGAAUCCCUGCCACCAUUUUGAAGUGCGUUUCACUUCGUGACGUGAACGAAGGAAGUUUAUAUGGACAGACCCUUGCUCCCUCGAUUUUGACCGAGGGAGCGAGUCUAUAUAUAAAUUGUUUUUUUAAAUAUUUAAAACACACUUAUAUACAUAUAGAAUGCUGCAUUAGACAAUUUUGUAAGGGGAAAAAAUAAAUAAUAAAUCAGCUCCAUUGCGGAUUCCAAGUGAUCAAGGGCUUAGGACUUUCCAAUUCAGCCCAUUGCAAAGUUUUCGCCAGUAGUGGGCACUCAUGCAACGUAAGCAAUGACGUACAUCCGAGUCAACGAGACUGAGGGAAGUUAGCGAGGGAAGGGCAUUUAAAAAACGAACUGGAACGCAACUGGAACACCAUUAUGGGGUGAAAAUGCCAACUGGACCAUAGAAUCCUUCACAUCUUACGCACCCAAAAUCUGUGAAUUUCACAACUAAAUCAGGGGCCGUAUUCACAAAACAUUUUAUCUUACCACUAAGAGUUCUUAGCUUAAGCUAAGAGUAGGGGCGGGGUUGACCUCGUAUACACACAGUGAUUGGCUGAUGGGGGAGGUGUAGAAUAAAUAUUGUAGAAUGAGGUGUCAUGUAUCCAUAUUAAAAUAAAGGUUCUAAAAAUAGAAAUGUUGCCCUAUUCAAAUAUUUUUUUUAAUAAAAUGUUGCCGUAUUCAAAUAAAGGUUUUAAAAUGAAGGCUAAGUGUCACUAAUUAAACUAGUAUAUACAGUUAAUUGUCCGCCUCUUGGAUGUCUGCAUCUCGAGAGAUUGCAGAAUUAAAGCGACAAAUUAUGUUUUAUAAACAAAGUCUGAGAGGAAUGCAUUCAAACGGUCUAUCUAAUCAGCUCGAGAGGAGGAAUAUAUAUACAGACAAGAGCCGACUCGCCUAUAGUUACUUCGACAGUUUUCUGCAUCCCUCCACUACCCUGCUCCUCACUCUCGGCUGGGGUCCUGGGGAUACGGGGAGAACUUUGGGUUUGGGCUAAAUUCCAAGCUCGGAGCCCUCGAUCCCCUUGGACAGCAUGCCAAAUACGCUUUUUAUAUAUAUGUUUUUUACUCUAUUCAAUCAUUUGUAAGUGUGAACUCAUGAAAACCACUGCCACAGGUAAUCGGACAAUAUUUAUUUGUUAAAGAUUUAUUUUUGGCAUCUCAUCGUAGAUUCAAAUCUAUAAAUCAAAAUGUAUUGCAUUUAUGAAGAAAAACUUCAGCACCUAAGGCUCUCACUACUGCCUCAUGGUGUACAGUGUCUUUAGGUGGAUUAGGACUGUUUGUGAUUUGGUCUUAGUGACUUAGGAGUCCUCUUGACUACUCCUAACGUUUAACAGAUUUAGGAGCUAGUUUUAGCGCUAAAAUGCUUUGUGAAAUACUCUUAGAGCAAAAAUUUAGGACUCCUAAAAUUAGGACUGACACGCCCAUUAUUUUUAAGAGUUUCUCCUAAAUUGGCAAUUUAGGAGCUACUUUUAGCCUUAAAGGGUUAGUUCACCUGAAGCAGUGUUUUGAAAUCGGCCAUCACUAAAUAAGUCGUUAUUUUGUUUUUUUUGGCGCACCAAAAAUAUUCUCGUCGCUUUAUAAUAUUAAUAUUGAACCACUGUACUGUACUGUAUUUAAAUAUGUUUUUAGUAUCUUUAUGGAUCUUGAGAGAAGAAAUGUCAUUGCUCCCUAUGUAGGCCUUACUGAGCCAUCGGAUUUAAACAAAAAUGUCUUAAUUUGUGUUCUGAAGAUCAACGAAGGUCUUACGGGUGUAAAACAGCACGAGGGUGAGUAAUUAAUGACAAAAUUUCCAUUUUUUGGGUGAACUAACCCUUUAAGAUGUUUUGUGAAUACGGCCCCUGAAGCGCAAUAGAACAUUUUUCAAAUUAAAUUUUAUGGCACCUACAGUAAAUGUUGUAUUGUCUUAUACAUGUUUUAUUUUACCAGUUGUGUAAUCCAACCAUUCAUCCAUUUGAGGUAACGUAGUUAGCCUACUUUGAGUAUUUCCAUUUUAUUCAACACUACACAUUUAUUAAUAGUAAAUUAAUAAUGAAUACAUUUAAGAUCAUCACGUUUGCAGCGAACAAUCUAGAUCAGACCUAAUGGAGUAAUAAUAGUAUUACUCCACUAUCUGAAUUGAAAUAUAUAUAUUGUACGUUUUAAUGGAUCACGCUACAAACAUAAUGAUCUUAUAAUACAUGGUGCAUUUCUGUGUCCGUUAUCACAUAAUUCCCACUUUUGGGCACUUUUGCUUUAACAUACAACACUGCAAAAACAAGCUGUUAUUUUUUGUUAUAUUUAUUGUCCAACAUUCCCAAUUUUUCUGAUGCAUGUCCUUAAUUUAAUUUCAUAUGUUGGUAUUAAUUCAGUGUUUAUAAUGCUAAUACUUGAACUUCAAAGAAGUUUAAGUCAAACUGACUGGGUUUCUAGAGAGCAAAGGUUUUGUGAAAAAAGUGGAAGACUUAAAGUCUGUAAAAUAAACUGUUAAAAGGAUUUGAUGAUUACUAGUGUUGUCAUUCAGGUUGGAUUUUAGCUUUAAUGUACUUUAUUUAUUUAUUUAUUUUUUUAUUAUUAACAAAGCAGCUGGUAUUGCCAUAGAAACUAGUGGACCGACGAGUCACUUUCACGUCAAAAUGGCGAAAACGCAGGGCUGCUGCUGGGCGCCGGUGUUGCAAUGGAACGUUCUAUUGAGUUUCGCUACAACGAGCUUCUUCCUGGGUUGGUGACAUCACUAACCCUAAAAUUUACAUAAACCCUGCCCCCGAGAACACGCGUCAAAGGGGUGACGCCAUGUUAUUGCAAUACAGUACGUAACACAAAUGCAAUAGCAUGUCAUAAAAGCAAGAUGACAAGAUGACAAAUUAUAACUAAUUAUUUAAUAAUUAACUAAACUAUACCUGUUCUAUCUUCAUGCAGCAUAUAUUCUCUGGCUCUGUAGGCAUCUUACAACAGUUCCCACACGAGCGAUUUAUAGAUUAUCAUGACAGAAUAUGCUAAUCAAUGACUUUAAAGGGGGGUGUAAUGCUAUUUCAUGCAUUCUGACUUAUUUACAUUCUCAUGCUAAACAUGGCCAAAGUUUCAAAACACGAGUUGGACAUAUGACGGAGUAUUUCUGUGCCAAAUAUACAACUUCCGGUUGUGGACAUGUUUUGCUGAAUUUUUUUCGAGUAUGGCCUGUAUGACGUCAUAAAAGGGUGGAAUUCCUUGUAUAAGCACUUCUCCCUGAUAAGCAUUCACACACAUCACCCAGAGCAAGAGCACGCCCAUCAACGCGUUUCAUUCGGGAUACGGAAGCAGAGAGAUUUUUCAACAAUGGCUGUGUCCCAUUUCAGGGGCUGCACUCUUUGAAGGCUGCUUACAUCAUCGAGGCAGUCUCAUUUAAGAAAAAUAACCAUUAGAUUGCAAAGUAAGAAAGAAAUUACAGUAUUUUACACCUCACAGUGAAUAUCAGUCAAUUUUAUUACGGUCACUUUUCUUAAAUAAGACAUCCUUGAUGACGUAUGCAGCCUUCGAAUUGAGACCAGGCUCCUGUCAACAAAGGAGUGUUUUUUUGGUUGUGAGAGAAAGAUUACCUUUUUGAGCUUCCCAAAGAACCCAGCGUUAAGGGAACAGUGGAUGAAGUUUGUUUUUCCGGGGCAGCAAUGGAGUUGUGCACGUAUGUUUGUUUGUUCCCAGGAUUUCAGUGAUAAAUACUUUGUAAACAAGUCCCAGUUCGGCGCUGGAUUUGCAGAUCGCGGGUGCUAGCAGACGAUCUCUACGCAAAAGCUGCGCACACUCGUGACUCUUUAGCUCUGCCCACGGCACUGACGCCAGGCACGCCUCCAGGAGCUCGGCUUUUUUCGGAAAGACUCUGUACAGCGUAUCUAUCUUUUAUAAAUAUGAUAAAACUAAAGACUUUUCGGAGAUAUGAAGGUGCAAUAUUACUCUAUAUGUACCCAAGGUUAACGUGAGAUUGGCAGAAACUGUGUGUGAUAUCCCACAUCAGCUAUAUAAAUUAAGCAACUAACCAUUCAGAAACAUCCUGUUGCAUUCUACAUGUUGUCACUUAUUCUUGAGUCUCUCCAUCAUAGUCCAACUUCAGUUUGAACAUAAAGGCUGAACAGUUUCUGACAUUUUGGUGCUGCUAACACUAUGUGCUAACAGGAGCUAGAGGUCUGCAGCUAUUCAUGAAAACUUAACCCGAACCGAAACCCGCGAGUUCUUCGGGGCCCGUUGGGCUCGGGUCGGGUUCAGGUUAAGUUUCAAUGAAUAGUUUCGGGUUAGGGUUAGUCUGUAACUGAGAAAAACUAUAUAGGCUGUUAGAAGAUGCCACACAAGGCUUAUAUGUGUUGUGCUUGAAAGAGCGUUCGAGAGUGGGAACACAUUUAUAAUUCACAAUUAGAUAUUAACUGUUUUGCACAUGUGCUCCCGCUCUCGCGCACUCUUUCGGUCACAACACGGCACAUGACACUCAAACCUAUGAGUGCGAUAAGGCAAACAAUUACUGAGGGAAAACUUAUUACAGUGCCAAAUGAUGCAGGGAAAGCAAAUUAAGCCAGUUGAAAAACAUGGGAUGAUGUGAAUUAUUCUGGCCCACCCACCAUCCACUUUCUGCCUCCGCCACUGGUUUGAAGUAUAUCGGGGCCUUCAGACCCGCCUUCUUUGAUUAGAUUGGCCAUCUCACUCAUUUUGACAUUGACUAGCGCUGUUAGACUGUUAAGACAGAGCAACCUGAAAGCUUUUAAAACUUUUUGUCAUCCAAAUAACAAACAGAGCUGCACGUAAUGGAGUGCAGAGAAGCAUCAUAUCAAAUAUUGAGGGACAAUUUGGAUAUUUCUAAUUUUUGAGGAGACUUGUCCCUCUAAAUGUCUAUGGUGGCUAUAUAUCUAAAAUAUACUCUACAUUUCAGAGAAUGGGUUCCUUUUCUUUUUUAUAGUAUUUAAAAAUGUCUUAGUUUAUUUAUUCUACUCAUUAAAAUGAUAGGAUAAAACAAAUAAAAUGAGAAAAUUGUGAAUUAUAUAAUUUAUUUUUAUUCAUAGCUCCCACAAAAUCAUAAAUGGCUCUGCACAGCCCAAAAUGUUGCCUUUGAGUCAAAGAUUCAAUGGCCCAUUCCUAAACACCUGCCUCAUUUUUCAAUGAAUCAGCUGUUUGAACGAAUUGUUCGAAUGAAUGACUAAGACAGUCACUUACUGCCACCUACUGGCGGUUCAGUUUCAUGUUUAAAAGUAUAAUUUUCCCAACAUUUCUUAUUUGUAUAAUAAAAAAUAUUUAAAGAAUCUAAUAAAAUGUUUUUCUUAUUGAAUUUAUUGAUCAAUUGUAAAAAUGUGAAAUAAAAGAUGAAGCAUAUAUUUAAUAAGAUUAGGGGAAAGCUUUAUAAAGGUAAAAAAAAAAAAAAAAAUGUCCUUGGGGUAAAUAUCAUAAAUAUGCAAAUUUAAAUAUGUAAAAGCUGAUGGAACUCUGUUGAGAAUAUUGCUUCAAAAUAAAUUAUAUUUACACCACGAAUAAAUCCUUUUUUUUUUUUUUUUUUUUUUUUUUUUUUUUUUUUUUCCCAAGACAAGUGAAUGACUGAUUUACUUGUCCAAAGGACAAGCACAUGACAGGGCUUAAUGCUGAACACUGUAUUUUGUAUUUAUAUGCUCUCCUUUAGGCCUACAGAAAGAUUUUAUUAUCAGAUGUAGCUUUGCACACUACCAGCAUCUAGAAUGAUUUUGAUCAGCAUUUUAGUAUUCAUAGCAGAGGGCUUUGUCAACUUAUAUUUUAAAGUUUGUCAGUCGAUAAGAUUUUGUAGGCUUUGCAUACACACGUGCACCCCUUGAAAGCCUGAAACCACAAGGCCCCCCACAUAACAAAUCCCAAUUUAACCCCUGCUAACACCACAUGGAAAAUAUGACUGACAAUAUUUAAUAGUAUGUAGCAACAUGCAGAGCGUGCAUGAGAGCGGUUUCUGCAUCGAACGCUGCUAUGAGUUUAACAACGCUCGCAACAUGGUGCAUAGAUUAUAUACGGGCUGGAGUAAGCGCUUUUCAAGUUAUAGACAUAUUGCAAAUAGCGUUGUCUGCAUCUAGUUUUGUGAAAUGUAACCACACUUCAGAAAGUUUAGCCAUUGCCCUGUGUGUUGUGGUUGUGUUCUCUCUCAAUUCAAUUCAUUUCAGUUCAAUUCAUUUCAAUUUAGUUGAGCUUUAUUGGCAUGACUGUGGGAUAGCACAAUGUUGCCAAAGCAAUAAACAUGCAGUGCUUCCCACACAUACAGGUGCUGGUCAUAUAAUUAGAAUAUCAUCAAAAAGUUGAUUUAUUUCACUAAUUCCGUUCAAAAAGUGAAACUUGUAUAUUAUAUUCAUUCAUUACACACAGACUGAUAUAUUUCAAAUGUUUAUUUCUUUUAAUUUUGAUGAUUAUAACUGACAACUAAGGAAAAUCCCAAAUUCAGUAUCUCAGAAAAUUAGAAUAUUACUUAAGACCAAUACAAAGAAAGGAUUUUUAGAAAUCUUGGCCAACUGAAAAGUAUGAACAUGAAAAGUAUGAGCAUGUACAGCACUCAAUACUUAGUUGGGGCUCCUUUUGCCUGAAUUACUGCAGCAAUGCGGCGUGGCAUGGAGUCGAUCAGUCUGUGGCACUGCUCAGGUGUUAUAAGAGCCCAGGUUGCUCUGAUAGUGGCCUUCAGCUCUCCUGCAUUGUUGGGUCUGGCAUAUCGCAUCUUCCUCUCACAAUACCCCAAAACCUUUGCCCAUCAGUUUUGGCCACUAUGUUUGGUGUGGUAAGUUUAGAAAUAGUACUAUUUAAGAGCCUGUUUACUGUAGACUGAUGGGUCCAAGUCAUCACCGGUGCACUGCUGCAUUUUUCCAGUUACCAAAAAAAAAAAAGAAAAGGUAAUUACUAUUUCAUUUCUACAGUCAGAGCAUUGAUUUGUAGAGUGGGAGAAGUUGUUACAUUUAAAGUUAUAAAAAGUUUAUUCAAAGUCAUUAAAUGUAUUAAAAUGCAUUAAACAUAUUAAUUAUUGUUUAAGUAAUAUUUAUUACAUUUAUUUAAAGUUAUUACAUUUCUUAUUAGGUCAGUUACAAAAAGAAUUGACAAUCAAGUUUAUAUCAUUUUAUCAACUCCAUGUCAUCAUAUAACUCCAAUACUUCAUAUCUUCAUUGGAAAGCGUGUGUCUCCUCUUCUUUGCUGCCAUCUUGUUACUCCUAAUAGGUUAGGAGACCUCUCCAGCACUCUUACAUAAUUUAGGAGCUAAGACCUAGUCUUGACACUUAGGAACCUUUAUGAAUCAUACUUAUUCUUAAGUCUAGGAAUAAGAGUAAAUUACGUCAUUCUUAGAAUUUUGACACACUUAAGACUAAAAUUUUACUCUGAGCGGCUUUAUACAUACAGGCCCUGGUCUGAAGACAUCUACAUGCAAAUAUUCAGUUGCAAUCAUAGCGCCACCUGCGGGCAACAGGAAAUGACAUGUUUUACACUGUGAUUAACUCCUCAUAAAGAUUUAACCAGAACAUCAUCAUAUAUCGUCAGUCUAAUCUUAAGGCCUUAAGGAUGAUAAAUUGCAAAGAUCUAGAGUUUUCGUUGAAGGACGUGUCUGUGGCAGCCUGACAAAGUCUGAUAUUUUGCCAUAAAAGAGGAAGCUGUUGUAACUCAGGCGUACAAUGUCCGAUCUGUCAAUUCAAUUCAAUUCAAUUCAAUUCACAUUUAUUUGUAUAGCGCUUUUCACGAUACAUAUCGUUUCAAAGCAGCUUUACAGAGAAUGCAUGUCAACAUUACAAUUUGGAGAAUGCAGUUAGCUAAUAAUGUAAUAAUUUAGGUGAUUAAUAUACAAUCACUGUUUGCAAUUUAAUUGAAGGUAGAAGCAAAGAGCUCCUGGAAAAAUGAAUUACAUAUUAACAAUAAUUAGGAUAAUUAGGAUCUGUCCUGGCCUAAAGACAUCUAUAUGCCAAUAUUCAGUUAGUCAUAGCGCCACCUGCUGGCAACAGGAAAUGGCAUGCUUUACACUGUAAUUCACUCACAGAAAAACAUUUCAAUAUGCCACGAAGUGCCAAACAUACUAGAAACAUGUUAAAUCAUGCAAAACUUGGCCAUUUGUUAAUGUAUGCGAUUAACGCCAUGACAAAGGAAGUUGUUGUAACUCAGGCAUACAAUGUCUGAUCUGCUCCAAACUUCACAUGUUUGAUAAUAGUCCUGGCCUGAAGACAUCUACAUGGCAAUAUUCAGUUACAGUCAAAGCGCCACCUAUUGGCAGCAGGAAGUGUGGCACUUUGAAAUGACUUGGCCAUAUUUCCCUUGUAUUUACUCGCUUACAUGCAUGUAACCCAUUGUUCACUCUUUUCCUAAGGCCAACGGGUGGCGGUGAGCCUGGGUGCGAGGGCCCUUUCAUCGCUGCUUGCAGCUUUAAUUUGAAUUAUUAUUUUUUUUUAAUGAUUUAAAGACUUCGCUUCAUUACUGUACUACAUUCCAUUACUGGAUGAAUCAGCGUUUCAAAUGUUUUGCUCUCUUCACAGAAACAUAAAAUGGUAGACAAGUAUGUCUCGUUUUCUUAUUUUUUAUUUUUUUAAUCUAUUAUUGUCAUGGUAGGUU